rnacentral:rRNA from 1 species
GAUGAACGCUGGCGGCGUGCCUAAUACAUGCAAGUCGAGCGAACGGACGAGAAGCUUGCUUCUCUGAUGUUAGCGGCGGACGGGUGAGUAACACGUGGAUAACCUACCUAUCAGACUGGGAUAACUUCGGGAAACCGGAGCUAAUACCGGAUAAUAUUUUGAACCGCAUGGUUCAAAAGUGAAAGACGGUCUUGCUGUCACUUAUAGAUGGAUCCGCGCUGCAUUAGCUAGUUGGUACGGUAACGGCUUACCAAGGCAACGAUGCAUAGCCGACCUGAGAGGGUGAUAGGCCACACUGGAACGGAGACACGGUCCAGACUACUAAGGGAGGCAGCAGUAGGGAAUCUUCCGCAAUGGGCGAAAGCCUGACGGAGCAACGCCGCGUGAGUGAUGAAGGUCUUCGGAUCGUAAAACUCGGUUAUUAGGGAAGAACAGAUGUGUAAGUAACUGUGCACAUCUUGACGGUACCUAAUCAGAAAGCCACGGCUAACUACGUG